rnacentral:misc_RNA from 1 species
AGCCAUAUGAGCAGUUUGGCCCUGUGGAUAAAAGUCGUGUUGUUGGGAGUGGAAUAGGAAAUAGGUCAAGUUCAAGUACUCAAGAAACUUUCUCUCUUGUGGAUUCAGAGGCCCAGCUUCUUAAAUCAUUCAGAUGUUGUAUUGUUAGGCUUUUGAAAUUGGAAGGGUCUGAUUGGCUGUUUGGGCAAAAUGAUGGAACUGAUGAAGAUCUAAUUGAUCGUGUGGCUGAGAGGGAGAGAUGUUUGUAUGAAGUUGAAACAAGAGAGAUAAACCGCAUGGUUCACAUGGGUGAGUCUCAGUAUUCCUAUUCUGACAGGAAGCCAAGUUCUGUAUUGAAGAAUGAUGAGGCUGGUAUAGCCAACAUUCUGGUUUCCUCAGUUCCUAAUUGCGGGGAGGGCUGUGUUUGGAGAGCAGAUUUGAUAACAAGCUUUGGGGUUUGGUGCAUUCACCGGAUUCUUGAUUUGUCACUCAUGGAAAGCCGGCCAGAGUUAUGGGGAAAAUACACUUACGUGCUUAAUCGUCUCCAGGGUAUCAUAGAUCUGGCAUUUUCAAAGCCCCGUAGUCCAAUGUCUCCAUGCUUCUGCCUUCAACUCUCUGCAGCAUAUCAGCGUAGGUCAAGCCCUCCUGUGGUGAAUGGAAUGUUGCCUCCUGCUGCAAAACCAGGGAGGGGGAAAUGCACUACUGCAGCAACGCUUUUUGACUUAAUCAAGGAUGUAGAAAUUGCCAUAUCUUGCCGAAAGGGUCGAUCAGGCACUGCUGCCGGUGAUGUGGCUUUCCCAAAGGGAAAAGAAAAUUUGGCUUCUGUGCUUAAACGAUACAAGAGGCGAUUAUCAAGCAAGCUGAAUGGGAAUAAAGGAGGGAUGUAGGUCAAAGCAAGAUUGUGAGUCUGCCUCAACUGGGUAAAUAUAGGGCUGUUUGAUUUUGAAAAUCAGAUAAUACUGUGAUGAGAAGUUCAGUUAUGGGGUUCUCUUUCUCAUGUGUAUUAAAAAGUCAAUGUGCUGCAAGUUUUACAUGGUUUUAUGUAAUGUAUACAUAUGAUAAAAGAUUUAAGGGAUGCGUAAUUGCAGCAUAAUUAAAGAAAUGGGUAGAAAGGUGGAACUUUGAUAAUAACGCACUUUCUGGUUUUUGUGUCACUUCUAAGGCAAUGUAGAUUAUUGCGUUGGGCGGGGGAAAAUACCUGUACUUGAUCUCUA